ACGCUCGACAGUGUCAGCAGCCGCGGUAAUACAGAGGGUGCAAGCGUUAAUCGGAAUUACUGGGCGUAAAGCGCGCGUAGGUGGUUUGUUAAGUUGGUAUGUGAAAUCCCCGGGCUCAACCUGGGAACUGCAUCCAAAACUGGCAAGCUAGAGUAUGGGUAGAGGGUGGUGGAAUUUCCUGUGUAGCGGUGAAAUGCGUAGAUAUAGGAAGGAACACCAGUGGCGAAGGCGACCACCUGGACUGAUACUGACACUGAGGUGCGAAAGGCGUGGGGAGCGAAACAGGAUUACGAUACCCUGGUAGUCCACGCCGUAAACGAUGUCAACUAGCCGUUGGGAGCCUUGAGCUCUUAGUGGCGCAGCUAACGCGUUAAGUAUCCCGCCUGGGGAGUACGUUCGCAAGAAUGAAACUCAAAGGAA
rnacentral:rRNA from 1 species